CCUACGGGGGGCAGCAGUGGGGAAUAUUGCACAAUGGGGGAAACCCUGAUGCAGCAACGCCGCGUGAGUGAAGAAGUAUUUCGGUAUGUAAAGUUCUAUCAGCAGGGAAGAAAAUGACAGUACCUGACUAAGAAGCCCCGGCUAACUACGUGCCAGCAGCCGCGGUAAUACGUAGGGGUCAAGCGUUAUCCGGAUUUACUGGGUGUAAAGGGAGCGUAGACGGCUGUGCAAGUCAGAAGUGAAAGCCCGGGGCUCAACCCCGGGACUGCUUUUGAAACUGUGUAGCUAGAUUGCAGGAGAGGGAAGUGGAAUUCCUAGUGUAGCGGUGAAAUGCGUAGAUAUUAGGAGGAACACCAGUGGCGAAGGCGGCUUACUGGACUGUAACUGACGUUGAGGCUCGAAAGCGUGGGGAGCAAACAGGAUUAGAUACCCUUGUAGUC
rnacentral:rRNA from 1 species